rnacentral:lncRNA from 10 species
CUCUCCCUGCCCCCGCCCUGCCCCGGGCGCACGGGCUGCGGGGGUGGGGACUCUCCCUGAGGUCACCAGGGGCUCCGCCUUGAGGUCACAGCCGCGGGAGGCCGUGCUCGUGCUUUGGAGCUCCAUGUGAUGUGGUCGGUGGAAGACGUCUCCUUUGUCAGAAUCCGCGCUCAGAUUCCCGGAAUAGCUGCCAGACCGACCCCAGCGUUUAGCCCGGGAAGGGGAGAAAUGAAGACUGCCAUACAUACCCUCUUCAGCAAGGCUUCCACUCUGAGGAGGGAGACCAAGAGUAAACUCAACAUAAAUACCCUUUUCAGGGAAGUUUAAUGGCUCUGAAGAAGACAGGAAGACCACACAUGCUGGCAUAGACCACAGCAUCACACACUUUCUGGCCUCAUGUUUGUUCUUUUGAAAACCCUUUUGUCUUUCCUUAAGAAACCUCUUUCUCCCCUGGAACUUUCUCCCCUUUCCCUUUCUCCUACUAAGUUAGAUGUGUAAGCCUUUUCCUUCCUUCCUUCCUUCCUUCCUUCCUUCCUUCCUUCCUUCCUUCCUUCCUUCCUUCCUUUUUUUUGAGACAGAGUUUCACUCUUGUUCAGGUUGGAGGGCAAUGGCGUGAUCUCAGCUCACCGCAACCUCUGCCUCCUGGGUUGAAGCGAUUCUCCUGCCUCAGCCUUCCGAGUAGCUGGGAUUACAGGCGUGAGCCACUACGCCUGGCUAAUUUCAACCAUUUGAUGAGCCAGCUACUUCUUUUGUGGUUCCCUGUGCAUAUGAAUAAACCCUUUUCUCCUGUUAAU